rnacentral:rRNA from 1 species
CCUACGGGUGGCAGCAGUGGGGAAUAUUGCACAAUGGGCGCAAGCCUGAUGCAGCCAUGCCGCGUGUGUGAAGAGGGCCUUCGGGUUGUAAAGCACUUUCAGCGGGGAGGAAGGCGUUAAGGUUAAUAACCUUGGCGAUUGACGUUACCCGCAGAAGAAGCACCGGCUAACUCCGUGCCAGCAGCCGCGGUAAUACGGAGGGUGCAAGCGUUAAUCGGAAUUACUGGGCGUAAAGCGCACGCAGGCGGUCUGUCAAGUCGGAUGUGAUAUCCCCGGGCUCAACCUGGGAACUGCAUUCGAAACUGGCAGGCUAGAGUCUUGUAGAGGGGGGUAGAAUUCCAGGUGUAGCGGUGAAAUGCGUAGAGAUCUGGAGGAAUACCGGUGGCGAAGGCGGCCCCCUGGACAAAGACUGAUGCUCAGGUGCGAAAGCGUGGGGAGCAAACAGGAUUAGAUACCCGGGUAGUC